AACAGUCAAAGAAGAUAGCGUCAGCUCACAUGAAGGGCUGUGAUGCCAAUAAAGCAGAGUGUGGGGAGGGCCGGGGCCACAGUGGACAGGCUGGUCAGGGAGGGCCUGUCUGCCAAGGCGACUUUGAGCUGAGUGAUGAUGACAAGGCAGAGGGAACAGCAAGUGCAAAAGCCCUGAGGCCGGAAUGAAUUUGGCUUGUCUGAGUAACACCGGAGAGUCCUAUACUUGCCAAUAGCCUCAGGAGCUCCCCUAACCUCUCCGCCACGGCCACUCGGGCCCCUGCUGCCUCCGCCUCCCUACUGGUGCCCUAGUUCUCCCACCCUCUCCUUCUGUGCCCGUGUCCACCUGCAGGGGUGGGCAGAGAUGAGGAAGCUACAGCCUGGGCUCAGAAGGGCAGAAAUUUUUCCUCCAGGAGAGCCCUGUCAUAUAUGUCAAGGCAUCGAAAGACCCCAGAAAAACAGUGGUUUGAGGGUAGGCCACCUUGUCGUGGAGAAAGACCUGCCCUGGGAUCGUCAAUGGAGCCUUGGAGCUGGAGAAGAAUGGACACACUCCUGAGGGGAUGACCAGGGCUCAGCCACCUCUGGGUGCCCUCAGGCCAGAGGACAAAGGGGACACCCAGGCCCCAGAGUUGCACAAGAUAAACCUGGUGGUGUCAAAGGUAGCCUCAUCUGGGCCAUGCAGGCGGGCUGGCUGCCAGACUUUUGGGGCCUGAGGCUGCGAGAUUGACCUGGCACCCUACCAUUUCCUUGGCUAAAGACUGCCCUCUCCAAGAUCUCCCUUUAAAAUAGAAAAUUUCCAUGGAGAGAAAAAAAGAGAGAGAGAGAGAGAGAAAGAAAAUUUCCAUGGAGGGCAAAUAGGAAGUCUUUCAAACUUAAGUGUAAAUCAGUUGAUCAUCUAAACUUGUUUUGUAAUAACAUGACAAAUGAUGAUGGUCCCUUUUAAACUUUUACAUUUUGGCAUGAUAUUUCAGAAUACUCUGGGACCAUGAGACAAAAUUAAGUUGGACCACAUUCUUUAUAUCUUACUUUUAAAGAAAUAAUGUUAAUUUACAUUUUCCUAGUUGAAGAUAGUAAUUAGGUUUCUAAGUUGUAUACUGUGUUUAUUGGUGGCAGUGACACCAAAAAUAGAGGCAAUGGAUAGAAGUUUUUAAACUGGAAAGAAAACAUGAAUUACACUACGUUUUCAAAGUCUCUUGUAAUUAUUUAGGCUACAACAAAAUUUGAUUCACCUGUCUUAUUCCACUGCUAGUCUUUUAAAUAUGUCUUUAACACAGCGUACCCUUUAAUUCUUCAUUAAAAUGGAUGUAAGUGGAUGUUUCAAAGUCAUCUAAAAAAACAAAACAAAAACAAACAAAGAAACAAAAAACAGAACAGCAAGCUGUGUGUGCGCUGGUCUUUGGAGGGACCAAGGAUAAGGGGAACGAAACUAAACUAACAUUUAUUAAGUUCCUAGUGUGUGCCAAGCACUGUGCUACGUGUUUCAAUUUGGUUAUUCUGUGAACUGACAUCAUUUGGCUUCUUCUCUGACUAGUAUUUGCAAGGACUGGCUUCCCUGCUCUGUCCAAAUCUCUUAUCUUCUCUAUUAUCUAUUAAUAUCUGGUAAAAUAUUAUAGAUAUUAAUGUCUAAUAAUAAUAUAGAUAUAGAAUGUAGACAUUGAUCUAAGAUAGAUAUAUCUAAAACAGGUAUAAAUAUCUAAUAGUAAUCAAUAUAGACAUCUAAGAGUAAUAAAUAGUAAUAUCAAUUAAUAUUA
rnacentral:lncRNA from 1 species